GGGCGCUUAGCUCAGCUGGUUCAGAGCAUCUGCCUUACAAGCAGAGGGUCGGCGGUUCAAAUCCGUCAGCGCCCA
rnacentral:tRNA from 1 species